AAACAUGUCUUUUGAAUUAAUAAUUUAAAGUCUAACCUGCCCACUGAAUAAUUUUAAAGGGCCGCAGUAUUAAUUGUGCUAAGGUAGCAUAAUAAUUAGUCUUUUAAUUAAAGACUAGAAUGAAUGGUUGAACGAAAUAUAAGUUAUUUUAAUUAUAUAAAUAUAUAAUUUAUUUUUUUAAUUAAAAAAUUAAAAUAUUUUAAAAAGACGAGAAGACCCUAUAGAUCUUUAUAAUAUUAGUUUAAUAAAUUUAUUAAGCUUUGUAUUAAAUUGGGGUGAUUAAAAAAUUUAUUUAACUUUAUUAUAAAAUUACAUUAAUUUUUGGUUAAUUUUAAUUGAUCUAUUUUUAUAAAUUAAGAAUAAGAUACCUUAGGGAUAACAGCGUUAUUUUAAUUUUGAGUUCUUAUUAAAAUUAAAGAUUGCGACCUCGAUGUUGAAUUAAAAUUUAUAUUAAAUGAAGUUAUUUAAAUAUUAGGUCUGUUCGACCUUUAAAAUUUUACG
rnacentral:rRNA from 1 species